rnacentral:lncRNA from 1 species
GAAGAAAUGACAUCAACGAUGUACAAAGUUAUCAUAAGAAAAACAAUGAAGGCCAGGUGCGGUGGCUCACACCUGUAAUCCCAGCAAUCUCACCUCUACAAAAAAUAAAAAAUAAAAAAAUCAGCCAGAGAUGAGGUCUUGCUAUGUUGUCCAGGCUGGUCUCAAACUCCUGGCGUCAAGCAAUCCUCCUGCCUCAGCCUCCCAAAGUCCUAGGAUUACAGGCACAUCACAGCCUUCUUGCUCUUAGGAACACUAGCCAGUAUGAAAUCACUGUGCUUGGGGCCUUUUCAACAGCAAAAUCAACAGGAAGCACUAAAAUGUGGCAAAAUGACACUAACUAGACCAUGCUAAGGAAGCUCGUUCACAGCGUGAGCCGAAACAAGAAGGCCGAGCAUCGCCUUGUUCCACCUCAGCUGGGAACGUGCAUUUGGGCAACUCAAAUCUCGUGUCGCUCAUGCAUGCCUGUGAAUUACCUCAAAAGCACU